rnacentral:rRNA from 1 species
GAUGAACGCUGGCGGCGUGCCUAACACAUGCAAGUCGAGCGAUUCUCUUCGGAGAAGAGCGGCGGACGGGUGAGUAACGCGUGGGUAACCUGCCCUAUACACACGGAUAACGUACCGAAAGGUAAGCUAAUACGAGAUAACAUAAGAAAUUCGCAUGGAUUUUUUAUCAAAGCUCUGGCGGUAUAGGAUGGACCCGCGUCUGAUUAGCUAGUUGGUAAGGUAAUGGCUUACCACGGCGACGAUCAGUAGCCGACCUGAGAGGGUGAUCGGCCACAUUGGAACUAGGACACGGUCCAAACUCCUACGGGAGGCAGCAGUGGGGAAUAUUGCACAAUGGGCGAAAGCCUGAUGCAGCAACGCCGCGUGAGCGAUGAAGGCCUUCGGGUCGUAAAGCUCUGUCCUCAAGGAAGAUAAUGACGGUACUUGAGGAGGAAGCCCCGGCUAACUACGUGCCAGCCGCCGCCGUAA